GCCUCUGUAGCUCAGUUUGUUAGAGCGCUGCACCGGAAUCGCAGGGCCGUAGGUUCAAUUCCUACCAGAAGAC
rnacentral:tRNA from 1 species